rnacentral:rRNA from 1 species
UACGGGGGGGGUAAGCGUUGUUCGGAAUUACUGGGCGUAAAGGGCUCGUAGGCGGCCAACUAAGUCGGACGUGAAAUCCCUCAGCUUAACUGGGGAACUGCGUCCGAUACUGGAUGGCUUGGAUUUGGGAGAGGGAUGCGGAAUUCCAGGUGUAGCGGUGAAAUGCGUAGAUAUCUGGAGGAACACCGGUGGCGAAGGCGGCAUCCUGGACCAACAUUGACGCUGAGGAGCGAAAGCGAGGGGAGCAAACGGG